CCUCUCCCAGGGUCGCACCUGGAGAGUUUCUGGUACUCUACCAGUCUUGACUAUGAGAAGGAGAGUCAAGCAGAAGCCUACCCAUUCCAUUCCUAGCUUGGGCAGUGGCUAGCGAGUGGAAAGCAAUCUGCUACAAGU
rnacentral:snoRNA from 1 species